AUCCAGCUGACGAGCCCGAAAUAAGACGAAACGCGCUUCCUGGAU
rnacentral:hammerhead_ribozyme from 1 species